CCCCCCUGCCCCUCUGCCCCCCUCCAGGGUGGAUUGUCUGGUGACCUGGACCUGCUGACAAGUCUCACUCUGCAGGAAAAGCUUCACACCCUGAGCAGCUUUCCAGGUGAACACACCUGCUGCUACGGUCACUAUAAUGUUACCCUUCAAAAUAAAAGUCUCACUUAUCUCCUCUGUGUCAGUGUUACUAAACGUUAUAUUAGUCUCUGUCUAGCUCAUAUAACUAUGUCUGCAUUCAACAUUAGGCUGGACAAAAAGAUUUCCUGCACACACACACACACACACACACACACACACACACACACACACACACACAGUCCAGAUGUCGGGGAAUAAGGGACACUUAAAGAGCUGGUGAGUUACGUACAUCCGAAUUUCUCCCUCACACACGAGUUCAACAUGGAGGCAGCCAACUGGGAGGGACGAGUAUGACGAAAUCAGAAAGAAAGACGCAGAGACACAGAGAGGGAGAAGGGAGAGACAGAGAGAGACAGACAGCUUGUUGUCCUCACGUGUGGUUAUUUUACAGUUUGCUGGUUGUUUUAACAUUGUGUGGCUGUUCGUUGUUUCUAACGUGUUUGUGUUGAAGGACGGAUCGAUGAUAUCUGGGUUGGUUCACUGUGAUUAGUAGAUUACUAAUGUGUGUGUGCGAUGGAGGUGAUCGGGUGUGACUUCCUGCUCUGUGUCUCAUUUCUCUGGAGAUGAUGACGAAAACGCUCAUAACACUUCAUAUGCAACGAAACGCACACACACACACUAUACAUGAUAUACACACACACACUAUACAUGAUAUAUAUAUAUAUAUAUAUCAUGUAUAGUGUGUGUGUGUGUGUGUGUGUGGCCGAGAUUAAUGCAACAAAAUAUUUCAACAUAGUUAAUGUACAUUUGUUCCGGUUUAGUUGACGGACACAAAGCUUUUUGCUUUGGAAGUAAAACAAGCGCCAACGGACCACUUAAAGCACUGUUAUGCUGAGCUAGCUGCUAUGCUAAGGUAAGUUCGCUGCUAGGCUAAGCUGCUAUGCUACUUCCAUCUCAACAUAACGUCAGUUGCCCUGCGCGUCACAGUCUGCAGAGGACCGCUGUGUCCCUAAAAGACUGGUUUGAAGACGUCCUGCUAAAUGUGGGACAUUGUUUAAACAAAGUGCACGAGGACAACAGAAGAGUCACAUGUUCAACAUGUUCCACCUGGUGGGAUUCUGCCUCGAUGAUCACAUGUGUGUAGUUUUGUGUUUAAAAUAACAUUAACAAUUAAACGACAGUGUCUAAAAUACACGUUUCUGAAUUUUUUACUUGUCUGAUUCUGUCUUUGGAAGAAAAACAAACAUUCAUUAAAAACAACAUUGAAGCAACAACAACAUUCAUUAAAUGCCAUUGAUCAAGAUUAAUGUAUUUCAAAAUGUGCAUUAAUUAAUUGUAUUCUAUUCACAGGCCAAAUAUAUACAGUACACGUCUAUACAUAUAUAAACGUGUGUAUAACAUAUAUAAACAUGUGUAGAACAUAUAUAACAUGUGUAAAACAUAUAUAAACAUGUGUAGAACAUAUAUAAACAUGUGUAGAACAUAAACAUGUGAAGAACAUAUGUAACAUGUGUAGAACAUAUAUAAACGUGUGUAGAACAUAUAUAAACAUGUGUAGAACAUAUAUAAACAUGUGUAGAACAUAUGUAAACAUGUGUAGAACAUAUAUAAACACGUGUAAAACAUAUAUAAACAUGUGUAGAACAUAUAUAAACAUAUAUAAACAUGUAACAUAUAUAAACAUGUGAAGAACAUAUGUAACAUGUGUAGAACAUAUAUAAACGUGUGUAGAACAUAUAUAAACAUGUGUAGAACAUAUAUAAACGUGUGUAGAACAUAUAUAACAUGUGUAAAACAUAUAUAAACAUGUGUAGAACAUAUAUAACAUGUGUAGAACAUAUAUAAACAUGUGUAGAAGAUAUAUAAAAAUGUGAAGAACAUAUGUAACAUGUGUAGAACAUAUAUAAACAUGUGUAGAACAUAUAGAA
ensembl:lncRNA